UCGUUUUAUCUAGAGUCAUGUUGACUCCAAAUUUUUCAUAUAAAUUGAUAGUAGAUCAUUAGCAAUUUUCUUUACAGUUAGGUUUCAUUUUCACCUUCUCCAAAAUUCUCGAAAAUUUCCCGAAAAUUUUUCGUGGUUCAAAAAGCAUUUCGCGGAAUCUUGAAAUUUGUGGUGGAACAGUGUUUGCAAAGGAGCGAAAAGCAAUCUGACAUGUUUUUCAGAUUUUCGUGAGACUGUGCCACGUUCAUUCUCUCUGCUUGAGUUAUUGGGCGAUUUUUGAAUAUCAGAAGCUUUCAAAUCCUCUUCCGCUCCAUCUAAAUCGAUUCAAGCCUCGGAGUUUAUUCGAAGAUGGUGAUUCGAAUACACGUUGAACCAAUUCUUUCGGUGCCAGUGUGGAUCGAACGAAAUCGGUGUAAGGAGGUUUUGCGGUUUCCAGUGACCUAAAUCAACGAGGAGUUUGCGUUUUUCGGCGACCUAAAUCAUUGAAACGGUGAGUUUCCGGUGCGUUUUCAUCCGCGUUUUUCAUCUUGUUCUUCAUUGUCUGGAACGAUUUUUAAUUCCUGUGAUUGGAGAACAUUGAGUGAUGAUUGCGAAACGGAGGUGUUGUGGUUCCUGGCGACUUAGAUCAGAAUUUUGAAGUGACAUUACUGGUUUACGAAAAUUGCGAUUUCCGACGAACAGAAUCGGUGAAGAUGACCGUAACAAUUGUCGCGAAUCAGUGUUUGUUUCACUGCUAAAGUUGGCGCACGAACCGAAUCGUUGUUUGCGGUGGAGAAAUUGCUUUCAUCCGCUGCAGUAAUUCGCAUAGGGUUUGGAUAAUUCCUAUCUCUGAUAAAUCCGCUGCAGUAUCUCUGAUAAUUUGCACAAAAGGUGUUUGAUAAAAUUACAAAACUAGAAGUUGGAUUCAAUUGGUUCUAGCUUGACUGUAUUGUUGGUGCAUACUUUUGAUUUGUAAUUUGUGCAUCUAAACUUGAAUGUUGAUUCUCUGCAUCAUUGAUUCAAUCUUGAAACAGUGCCUCUGAAUUUUAAGUCAUUUUUUUUCUUUGGUGCUGCUGUUUGAAUCAAAUUACUGCUAGGUGCAAUUUUCUAACUAGCGCAGCGUGAAUUUUGAACAGUGGCAAUUGGAGUUGUUCUAGAAUUGGUGAUUUGGAAUUGGUGCAGAUUUUCAUCUGUUUGAUAAUUUGACUUCACUUCUAGAAUUGGUGCGGGAUCUACAGUUCAGAAAAUUUAUUUGCUUCCAACAAUUACUUUUGUAAUACAUGUGAGCAAAAUUUGGGUGCAGCAACAAUGUUCACUCAAAGAUACAUUUGAGAAAUUGUGGGACCCACGAAAAUAGAAUUGAGACAAAUAGUGGGUGGUCGUACGUGAACUUGCAUCAUAUGUUCAGAUUGAAUGGCCAAUUGAAUUGAGAAGAACAGUGUAGAAGUUGGGAUUCGCAUGAAAUUGGAGUGAAACAACACGAUAACUUGGGCUGCACAAUUCUAAUUGAAGAAUUUUAUUUCAGUAAUUUUGGAGGUACGAAAAGCAGGAUUACAAUUUUUAAUUUGGGCCAAGCUACAUUGGGCUAGUCACAUUUUGGGUUCCAUGCUCUAUUAAGAAAUUUGAUCAUUCUUUAUUUUAAUUUUGUAAUCCAUUCUAGUGCCUAUUUUUAAGUGUUUUCUUUGGAGUGACUACUUUCUUGAAAACGUUUAAUUUUUUGUUUGUCUUGAUUUUAUGGAUAAUCUUUGUGUUUGUCAUCUCUGAUCUCCUUUGAGUUUUACUCUUCAAAUUAAGCUUUUAUUGUUUUUAUUAUGACCUCUUAAAGUGGAAUAUACCUUGAAUUUGUUCUUUGUGAGAAUUAAGCUAACUUCUAGGUAGCAUCCUAAGAGAAGGCAAAGAAUUUUGCAAGGGGUAUCACCUUUGGAGGAGAAACAAGUAAAGGCUUGGAGAGAAACACUUGUGAGAGAAGAGAAGAGAACUUUUAAGAUUAUUUUUUUAAAUUUUGUGUGAUUUCAAUUGUUUUGUAAUUUGGCCAUUAUCUUUACUUUAGGUGUCAUGGAGGAGCCUUUGGUGUUCUUAGAUGACCGGGAGAAUAUUGAAGCGAAAUUGGAAGAUGAGGAUAAGACUUUACUUCUUCUUAGUACCUUAUCCAAAAAGUAUGAACAUUUUAAAGACGUUUUCUUUGUUCGGGAAGGAGCAUAUCAUUACCCUAGAGGAGAUGUAAACCUUUAUAAGGAUUAAGGGGCUUCAAAAGUUUAAAGAGUUAAAGGGGGUAAGAAAAUGGGUUGAGUUUGAAUGUGUCAAAGUCAAAGGGA
rnacentral:lncRNA from 1 species